CCUACGGGUGGCAGCAGUGGGGAAUAUUGGGCAAUGGGCGCAAGCCUGACCCAGCAACGCCGCGUGACGGAAGAAGGCUUUCGGGUUGUAAACUUCUUUUCUCAGGGACGAAGCAAGUGACGGUACCUGAGGAAUAAGCCACGGCUAACUACGUGCCAGCAGCCGCGGUAAUACGUAGGUGGCAAGCGUUAUCCGGAUUUACUGGUUGUAAGGGUCGUGUAGGCGGGACUGUAAGUCAGAUGUGAAAAGCCUGGGCUCAACCCAUGGCCUGCAUUUGAAACUGUAGUUCUUGAGUACUGGAGAGGAAGACGGAAUUCCUAGUGUAGCGGUGAAAUGCGUAGAUAUUAGGAAGAACACCAGUGGCGAAGGCGGUCUGCUGGACAGCAACUGACGCUGAGGCGCGAAAGCGUGGGGAGCAAACAGGAUUAGAUACCCGGGUAGUC
rnacentral:rRNA from 1 species